ensembl:snoRNA small nucleolar RNA, H/ACA box 40C
UGCAACAAUGCUGUUUUUGUCUGACUUGUGGGCUAAGAUUUAUGGAGAGGUGCAAAAAAUAAAUCCUCCUUUGCAACCCAGAACUCACUAUUGAGUAUGAGUUUUGAUACUAUAAGAAGGAAUAUU